rnacentral:rRNA from 1 species
UGGGGAAUAUUGCACAAUGGGCGCAAGCCUGAUGCAGCCAUGCCGCGUGUGUGAAGAAGGCCUUCGGGUUGUAAAGCACUUUCAGCGGGGAGGAAGGCGAUAAGGUUAAUAACCUUGUCGAUUGACGUUACCCGCAGAAGAAGCACCGGCUAACUCCGUGCCAGCAGCCGCGGUAAUACGGAGGGUGCAAGCAUUAAUCGGAAUUACUGGGCGUAAAGCGCACGCAGGCGGUUUGUUAAGUCAGAUGUGAAAUCCCCGGGCUCAACCUGGGAACUGCAUCUGAUACUGGCAAGCUUGAGUCUCGUAGAGGGGGGUAGAAUUCCAGGUGUAGCGGUGAAAUGCGUAGAGAUCUGGAGGAAUACCGGUGGCGAAGGCGGCCCCCUGGACGAAGACUGACGCUCAGGUGCGAAAGCGUGGGGAGCAAACAGG